AAAAAAAAAAAAACAUGUACAGGUUUUCGUGCUUAGACUAUUCCUGUUUAGCAGUGCAAACAGGCUUUUCUGGUGCAGACUGCCAAAUUAAGGCAUUCUUGACAAUCAAAUUCCAGGUGUCUCAAGCUAGAUUGGGAAAUACAACAAGGGGCAAUGUGUUUAACCCCUCAGGUACGACAAGAUGGCUGUCAUAACAAACCAGCUUUUAAAAGGACCUUCAAACGUAGGCUCCUUGCAGCUAUAAGCAUACUGCUUUUAUUCCACACAGAAUAAAAAGUUAUACUAUCACGCACACAGUUCAAAUCUCCACCUUCUCUGAGAGAGCCUGUGUAUAUCUGUUGUUGGCAAAAUUCCCCAAACUGUACAGAACAGUUAAUAAACAGAUAUCAGCUAUCCGUAGCUAUUAUCUGUGCAUUGAACAAUUUCAUUAAUAUAAUCUUCAGGGCUACUGAUUGGCAGAGCCUAUUCCUGUGUCUGUACAGCUCACCGCUCCUGAAGAGAUUUCCUAGGCAUAGGCAUGCGCAGCCUAGUGCAUUAGGGUGUGCACCCUAAAGCACAAACAUAAGCC